rnacentral:rRNA from 1 species
AUGGUCAGCCUCUCCUGGUUGUACUCCAUCUUCUCGCUUUGCACAUCUAUGAAGAUCUUGUACCUCUUCUCCUUCUUCAACUUCUUGGCAGAAAAAAUGACCAUCCAAGUGGUAGACAUUUUGCUUGCCGAGCAUCACCCGCGAUCUUAUCAAUCUCCUAAUUGUUUCCAUCACCUGUUGGAUCCUCUUUGGCACGGUGGCUUGUAUAUGGAUGACAACGGCAAGACCCGACAUACACUGAUAGUUCAAGCUGCUGGUUUGGUUGUUGUUUUGUGUGCCUAUAUGGCCACAAUAACUACAAGGGCUAGAAUUAGAAAUUAUCGUGCUCCAAUCCAUUAUGUUAUGCUUGAGAGAGACAUAGCUAGGUUGUCCAAUCAACGUUAUAUCUAUGAAGCCAAUGAUAUAAAUUGCCAUGACCUAUUAAGGAUGAGCAGGGCCCCAUUUUAUAACUUGUGUAACUUGUUUCGUGGUCAAAAAUUGUUAGAAGACAACAUUCAUAUCUGCAUUGAGGAGCAGGUUGCGAUGCUCCUUCUUGUAGUUGGGCACAACCAUAGGUUUAUGGCAAUGAAGCCCAUAUUUAGGAGGUCAAUUGAAGUAAUCAGUCGAUACUUCAAGGCAGUUUUAUAUGCAAUAGGGGAGUUGCGUGAUGAGAUGAUCCGGCCCCCAUCCAAUGAAGUUCAUCCAAAAGACUGUGCUGGUGCAAUUGAUGGCACCCAUGUUCUUGCCAAGGUACUGGUUGCUAUUGCUUCGGCAUUUACAGGUCGAAAAGGUGGCAUCACCCAAAAUGUGAUGGUUGCGGUUUACUUUGACCAUAAGUUUACCUAUGUGUUAGCUGGUUGGGAAGGGUCAGCCCAGGAUGAACUUAUUUUGGCCGAUGUGUUGGAAAGGAAUGAUGGAUUUGUUGUCCCUGCAGACAUGUGA